rnacentral:rRNA from 1 species
UGGGGAAUAUUGGACAAUGGGCGCAAGCCUGAUCCAGCAAUGCCGCGUGAGUGAUGAAGGCCUUAGGGUUGUAAAGCUCUUUCGCACGCGACGAUGAUGACGGUAGCGUGAGAAGAAGCCCCGGCUAACUUCGUGCCAGCAGCCGCGGUAAUACGAAGGGGGCUAGCGUUGUUCGGAAUCACUGGGCGUAAAGGGCGCGUAGGCGGCCUGUUUAGUCAGAAGUGAAAGCCCCGGGCUCAACCUGGGAAUAGCUUUUGAUACUGGCAGGCUUGAGUUCCGGAGAGGAUGGUGGAAUUCCCAGUGUAGAGGUGAAAUUCGUAGAUAUUGGGAAGAACACCGGUGGCGAAGGCGGCCAUCUGGACGGACACUGACGCUGAGGCGCGAAAGCGUGGGGAGCAAACAGAUUAGAUACCCUGGUAGUCCACGCGUAAACGAUGAAUGCUNGACGUCGGGGUGCAUNCACUUCGGUGUCGCCGCUAACGCAUUAAGCAUUCCGCCUGGGGAGUACGGCCGCAAGGUUAAAACUCAAAGGAAUUGACGGGGUCAUAGCUGUUUCCU